GUUACGUGUGCCUGGGGAACACUUCCUCAACCUAAUACUGCAAAACCAAGAUGUGUUGAUGAAAUGUUAAGGAAGGCCACAGUGAGGAACGUAGGGUUGGUGGAAUUAAGGCAAACAUAAGGACCACCGAAAUGGAGAAGUUAUAGCUGAUGACCAAGCCCACAGUUUGAUACUGUAGAAUGCUUGCCCUGUGAAGCAAAGUUGAAUUCCUUUAAAAGAGAUUACGAAGAGAACAGGAAGGGGAACACAGUGCACUCAGUUUUGUCUACAGUCAGAACUCUAAUCUUGCGGCUGCCUUUGGAGACGAUAGCAGAAGCCUAAGAUGCGCUUUCUUCUGCGUUUGGAUGGGAAAGUAUGUUCAAAUUUAACUGAGAUCCACAUUCCACGUUUUUGUUAAUAUCAAGUAAGUUGGAGAAUAGGUAGUUGGCAGAUGCAGAAAAAAAUUAACUUCACAUUUAAUCACUAUUUUACGAUGUUAAUCAGACUGAAACACUAUAAUAGCUUUUCAAAGCUAAGCAUAUGUAAGAAUUAUCCAUUGCUUUACUGGAAAUUUGAAAAUUACCUGAUGAGUCAAUGGAGGUGAUUAACAUUGCUAUUGAAUAUUUAAACAGAAUUUUCAUGAUGAUCUCUGAGUUUGGGGAUUAAGAGAAAUAAGGUGAAGGAAGAUUGAUUUCAUAGCUGGAGGGCUGUCUUCACGUAUGGUUUUGAUGUGGUGUUUCUAGGACACAGCCAGUAAUAUUAUAUUUCGAUACCCUUUCUUCUCUUCUCCUGAGUCUCAGUCAAUUUACUGAUGUUUCUGAGGCGCUAGGCUGUAGGGAGCAGUAAGGGACGGGUGCUACAUGUCCCACCGGGAAAACCAGCGUUGGAUACGUUCUCGGCCCUUCUCAUGCCUUGAAGUGACAUGAAAGUCUUCACUUAAGGGAUCUUUUACAAUGUUUAAAACAUGUCUAUUGCUCAUGAUAAGAUGUGCUCAUUCAUAGAAACAUCCGGAGUCCCGGAGAGUCUUGAUCCAAUUAAGGCUGAUUGACAUCAGGCUUCUGAAGUGAAAAAUGGGUUGUCCUGCCUGUGACAUUUCCUUCACGUACUCUUUAUGAAGUCAGUA